rnacentral:rRNA from 1 species
UCNAUGGNGAANCUGACGGACACCCGCGUGAGUGAUGAAGGGUUUCGGCUCGUAAAACUCUGUUAUUAGGGAAGAACAAAUGUGUAAGUAACUGUGCACAUCUUGACGGUACCUAAUCAGAAAGCCACGGCUAACUACGUGCCAGCAGCCGCGGUAAUACGUAGGUGGCAAGCGUUAUCCGGAAUUAUUGGGCGUAAAGCGCGCGUAGGCGGUUUCUUAAGUCUGAUGUGAAAGCCCACGGCUCAACCGUGGAGGGUCAUUGGAAACUGGGAAACUUGAGUGCAGAAGAGGAAAGUGGAAUUCCAUGUGUAGCGGUGAAAUGCGCAGAGAUAUGGAGGAACACCAGUGGCGAAGGCGACUUUCUGGUCUGUAACUGACGCUGAUGUGCGAAAGCGUGGGGAUCAAACAGGAUUAGAUACCCUGGUAGUCCACGCCGUAAACGAUGAGUGCUAAGUGUUAGGGGGUUUCCGCCCCUUAGUGCUGCAGCUAACGCAUUAACACUCCGCCUGGGGAGUACGACCGCAAGGUUGAAACUCAAAGGAAUUGACGG